GUUAGGAAUAUUGGACAAUGGGCGCAAGCCUGAUCCAGCCAUGCCGCGUGAGUGAUGAAGGCCUUCGGGUUGUAAAGCUCUUUAGUCCACGAAUAUAAUGACUGUAGUGGAAGAAUAAGCCCCGGCUAACUUCGUGCCAGCAGCCGCGGUAAUACGAAGGGGGCGAGCGUUAUUCGGAAUCACUGGGCGUAAAGCGUGCGUAGGCUGUUUUGUAAGUCAGAAGUGAAAGCCCAGGGCUUAACCCUGGAAUUGCUUUUGAAACUACAAGACUCGAAUUCGGGAGAGGAUAGCGGAAUUGUCAGUGUAGCAGUGAAAUGCGUAGAUAUUGACAGGAACACCAGUGGCGCAAGCGGCUAUCUGGACCGAUAUUGACGCUGAGGCACGAAAGCGUGGGGAGCAAACAGGAUUAGAAACCCGGGUAGUCC
rnacentral:rRNA from 1 species